UGGGCCGCACCGCCCCGGAAAUCCCGGGAGCGCUUUCCACACCUCCAGACGUCGGGAACGAUUUCCUCGGCUCGCUCUCGCGACGGUGCGAUGCCCCUCUCUGACCCCCUCCUCCUAGCGGCCACGAGCAACGCCCCCGCCGAAAUCCUCCUCACUCCGCAGACCGCGAGCGACGCAUCCACCGAGAUCGUCCUCCUUGCACUACUCCACGCGGAUGGUCCUCACCGCCGACCAGAUCCGUCGCCAGAUCCGCCGCCACUUGAUCCACAAGGAACAGCCAUGGUAGCAAGAUCUGUAGCAUGGCAUGUACGAACGCAGCAGCACAUACAUCUAAUUUGUCAUUCUUUUACUACCGCACAUGCAGUUCCGGUUCCUUGAAGCAUGGAAUUUUCCAGGAGGCACCACGACUGGUCAUUGGAGAAGACGUAUCUGGCACUUUAUGGUGGCUUGCACUGGUCGCACCAUUUGUUCAUGUAUUCUCUGCUGCAAAUUUUAUCCCAUGCUUGUUAACUUUGUUAACGGAGAAGUCAAUCCUUAGCAAUCAAGGGAUGCCAAAUGUGUGUUAGCGAGGAGGAAUCCACGUCUGGUCAAGAAGCGGUGGUAGCUGGCUGUCUUAUCGGGAAUGUGAUGACCCCAUUCUGGUGGUCACUCAGGUUCGUCCACGGACAUGCGCAACACCUGAUGGGAGCAUGAUGGGAGCACGACUGCUGCAUGAUACACAAAUACAGCCAUGGCCGAGUUCAGUGGUUGAACAAAGGCUCCACAUGUAAAUCUUUUCCAUUUGUGUAAGAUGUCAGCUAUAUAUUUUACUUAUCAAGCAAGAGAUGACUAUGGUUACGAAUCUAUGUUUGUGGAUUCAUUUGGCCUCAAGUGGAAUGUUUAGAGGACAAAUGGUACCCAUCGUAUAUAUCUAGAGACCGCAAGAGUAUUCUUAAUUUAAA